ensembl:lncRNA
AAUGGCUGAGCAGGGCCACUAAUGGGUGGCUCAUUGACAGUUGGUUGCCAGUGUGGGGGCCCACUAAGGCACCAACCAAUGACUGAGCAGGACCAACUGCCUGGGAACAGAGCGUAAUGAUGCAUGACAAUGGCUGCUGUGUUAAGAGCCUAAGAGCCCAACUCACUGCGCUCUGUUACAUACAGACUGCCCGCUCAGGCAGACUGCCUCUGCGAUUGGCUGCAGAGGUGGGGAUGGGAGAGAGGUUCACUGCUGCUUCAAGGCUUGGGCCAAGGCCAGUGGAUGACCUUGGUGAGGAUCCUGGAGCCCUGCAAGACACAGCACCUAGCCUGUUCCCUGGGGGCCCCAAAUCAUCCCAGGGACAAGGCCAGGACUGCAUCUUCACUGCCCGCCUGAUGAUUACCACUCUACCAACUGUUGGCUGAAUGACUAACUGUCGCUCAUUGGCAGUUGGUCACUUGGAGGAGGGGCCACUGAAGGGCUAACAAUAGCUGAGCAGGACCACUAAUAGUCAUGUGACAAGAGUUGGGGAGGAGGAGUUGGGCAUCUCUCCGAGACAAUUCUCUCCAUUCGGGACACUAGCACCCUCAGUAUAGAAAUCCUGUCUGACUGUUCUACCACUUGGGUGUGUAUGAAGAUAACAAAAACAAGACCACAGUCCCACUUGACACCUCGAUUACAGCCUGAGGCUGAGGUACCCAGGUCACUUUUUCAUUCUGUUAUCGCCCUUCAAUUUAUCUGCUGAAGAACGCAAGGCAUUUGACAUGUAGCGUUUCCCACAAUACAGGUUUUCCUAAAUAUAUGUCCAUGGUGAAGUUCAACAUGUUCCUCUGUUCUAUUUCCUAUAAAAUAGGAAACUGAUCAAUUCUUUUGGAAAGACUAUAGAUAGUGAUUGGAGAAGGCAAUGGCACCCCACUCC